CACACACACUUAAUUCCUUGGCUAGGCAUAACCCAAGCUACACAGGGUCAAGAAACUGUGAGGUACCGGGGGAGAAGGAUUUCUCCCACCCCUUUCAAUCAUUGCCUGGGCCAGUCUUAGGAUUGUGUUGCAGAGUACCACUUCCAAUCUGGUGGAUAUGUCUCACAAGAAAUGAGAGGUAAAUAGCAGUAGCACGAUAGAUGGGUAAGAUAAACUUUAUUCGCAUUAGCCAACAGCCAUAGCAACAUAAAACAAGCAAUAUAUACAAAUAAAAAGUUCAGGGCAAAAAGGGCACUCAAAUGGCCAAGAUUAUCGUUCAAGACAGGUAAAGGUAAAGGGACCCUGACCAUUAGGUCCAGUCGUGGCUGUCUCUAGGGUUGCGGCGCUCAUCUCGCUUUACUGGCUGAGGGAGCCGGCGUACAGCUUCCGGCUCAUGUGGCCAGCAUGACUAAGCCGCUUCUGGCGAACCAGAGCAGUGCACGGAAACGCCGUUUACCUUCCCACUGGAGCGGUACCUAUUUAUCUACUUGCACUUUGACGUGCUUUUGAACUGCUAGGGUGGCAGGAGCAGGGACCGAGCAACGAGAGCUCACCCCAUUGCGGUGAUUCAAACUGCCGACCUUCUGAUCGGCAAGUCCUAGGCUCUGUGGUUUAACCCACAGCGUCACCCGCAUCCCAGAUAGUUCAGAUAGUGGCCCUUAAUUUCAUUGCACCUUCGAUAAACCUAGCAACCCUUGCUGUUGUCUGACAAUUUUGAUCUGAUAAAAGAAAGAACAAUGUCGCCUCAGAUGGGUGGCCUCAGAUGGUAAGAAAGAGUGGGGUAAUGAUCUCAUUCCUCAGAUCUUUAUAAAGGGGACGGGACAGGAGAACAUGAGCCACUGUUUCCAGAUUACCAUCUCCACAGGGGCAGAGUCAUUUCUCAGUUGGAAUCUUUUGGUAUCUGCCCUCAAGUACGGCAGAAGGCUAGCAGUAGCAAGCUUUGCACCUUAUAAUCAGACACUAGGUAGACAAUUGGCCAUCCCUGUCUUUAAAAAGGAAGGAUCCAUAUCAGCCACCUUUGGUGAGGUAGAAAAGAAGAUCUCCCGCUACCCCUUAUUAGUCAAGGCUCCCGUACAAAUUAGAUAUCAUGCCUGAAAACAGGAUGGGACACUCAAAGGCCCUAUUGAGUUGGAAAAUCCAGAGGUGCCAUAAACACUGAAUUCACAUGUACCAGCCUAAGUUACUUAGGCCACAGCAUUUUAAGUAUGGCUUGGCACUAUUGGCCAACAUAUUGAGAGUUCUGGUUUUCAAACAAUGACGCAACUGUGUUUCAGCCUCCCCUUCAGUCACAACUAACCAGAAAAUUAAAGAAAGGACCGCUGCUCAUUUUUACCCAAGAUGGGAGUGGGGUUUGCUAGAGGGUAUUACAAACAGGUAGGUCAAUUGCCAAGGGCUCUUGCAAUGUAGCAAUAAAUGUCAACUAGACAUGCACUGGCUAUUUUAUUCAUGUUGACAUCUCUCUCAUUUUAGCUUUAAAAGGAUUUGAUGUAGCUAUC